AACGAACGCUGGCGGCAGGCCUAACACAUGCAAGUCGAACGAACCUUCGGGUGAGUGGCGCACGGGUGCGUAACGCGUGGGAAUGUACACCUUGGUAAGGAAUAACUGCUGGAAACGGUAGCUAAUACCUUAUAAUAUCUUCGGAUCAAAGAUUUAUCGCCAAGGGAUCAGCCCGCGUCAGAUUAGAUAGUUGGUGAGGUAAAAGCUCACCAAGUCAACGAUCUGUAGCUGGUCUGAGAGGAUGAUCAGCCACACUGGUACUGAGACACGGACCAGACUCCUACGGGAGGCAGCAGUGAGGAAUAUUGGACAAUGGGGGAAACCCUGAUCCAGCCAUGCCGCGUGUAUGAAGAAGGCCUUAGGGUUGUAAAGUACUUUCAAUAGUGAAGAUAAUGACGGUAACUAUAGAAGAAGCUCCGGCUAAAUUCG
rnacentral:rRNA from 1 species